rnacentral:rRNA from 1 species
AACCUUCCUUUUAGUGGGGAAUAGCCCAGAGAAAUUUGGAUUAAUACCCCGUAAUAUAACGGUGUGGCAUCACAUUGUUAUUAUAGGUUUACCGCUAAGAGAUGGGUGUGCGGCUGAUUAGGUAGUUGGUAGGGUAACGGCCUACCAAGCCAACGAUCAGUAGCUGAUGUGAGAGCAUGAUUAGCCACACGGGCACUGAGACACGGGCCCGACUCCUACGGGAGGCAGCAGUAAGGAAUAUUGGACAAUGGACGCAAGUCUGAUCCAGCCAUGCCGCGUGAAG